GGCGGCGUGGAUAAGACAUGCAAGUCGAACGGGAUAACUUUGGUAGCAAUAUUAAAGUUGUCCAGUGGCGUAAGGGUGCGUAACACGUGGGCAAUCUGCCGAGAAGUGGGGGAUAGCUCGCCGAAAGGCGAAUUAAUACCGCAUGUGGUUAGUGAGUGCAUACUCGCGACACCAAAGCCGGGGCAACCUGGCGCUUCUUGAUGAGCCCGCGGCCUAUCAGCUAGUUGGUAAGGUAACGGCUUACCAAGGCUAUGACGGGUAGCUGGUCUGAGAGGACGACCAGUCACACUGGAACUGAGACACGGUCCAGACACCUACGGGUGGCAGCAGUCGAGAAUUUUUCUCAAUGGGGGAAACCCUGAAGGAGCGACGCCGCGUGAAGGAUGAAGGUCUUCGGAUUGUAAACUUCUGUCAUUAGAGAACAAGUGCCGCCGAGUAACUACCGGCGGCUUGAUAGUAUCUGAAGAGGAAGAGACGGCUAACUCUGUGCCAGCAGCCGCGGUAAUACAGAGGUCUCAAGCGUUGUUCGGAUUCAUUGGGCGUAAAGGGUGCGUA
rnacentral:rRNA from 1 species